rnacentral:rRNA from 1 species
CCCUUAGAUGUUCUGGGCCGCACACGCGCUACACUGAAGGAGGCAGCGUGUACUCCUGGAUCGAAAGAUUUGGGUAACCCGCGAAUCUCCUUCGUGCUAGGGAUUGAGGUUUGCAAUUAUCCUUUAUGAACGAGGAAUUCCCAGUAAGUGCAAGUCAUAAGCUUGCGCUGACUACGUCCCUGCCCUUUGUACACACCGCCCGUCGCUACUACCGAUUGAAUGAUUUAGUGAGGACUUCGGACUGGGACCGAUGCGGCUUUCGGGCUGCGUCGGUAUUCUGGAAAGAUGUCCAAACUGUAUCAUUUAGAGGAAGUAAAAGUCGUAACA